rnacentral:lncRNA from 1 species
GUGGUCCCAAAGCAGCUUUCUUGCAAGGACAUGCAGUGUCCCAAAGGGAGCUCAUGUAGGAUGACAGAUGGAUGGCCCCACUGUGUGCAGAACCAGCCGUCCUGUCAUGAUAUCCAAUGUCAGAAGGGAACGGAGUGCCAGAUGGUGAAUGGUUGGCUUCAGUGUGUCCAAAUCAAGACCUCUGUCAGGAGACCCACCUGUAGUGAUGUUCGGUGCUCCAAGGGGACGGUGUGUCAGAUGGUGGAUGGAUGGCCUCAGUGUCUUCAACCCAAGGUGGCCCCAAAGCAGCCUUCUUGCAACGACAUGCAGUGUCCCAAAGGGACCUCAUGUAGGGUAAGAGAUGGAUGGCCCCACUGUGUGCAGAACCAGCCCUCCUGCCAGGAUGUUCAUUGUCAGAAGGGAACGGAGUGUCUGAUGGUGAAUGGUUGGCCUCAGUGUGUCCAGAUGAAGACUUCCAUCAGGAGACCCACCUGUAGUGACGUUCGGUGCUCCAAAGGUUCAGUGUGUGAGAUGGUGGAUGGAUGGCCUCAGUGUGUCGAACUCAAGGUGGUCCCAAGGCAGCCUUCUUGCAAGGACAUGCAGUGUCCCAAGGGGUCCUCAUGUAGGAUGACAGAUGGGUGGCCCCAUUGUGUUCAGAACCAGCCCUCCUGCCAGGAUGUCCAGUGUCAGAUGGGAACCGUGUGCCAGAUGGUGGAUGGAUGGCCUCAUUGUGUCCAAAUCAAGACCUCUAUCAGGAGACCCACCUGUAGUGAUGUUCGGUGCUCCAAGGGGACAGUGUGUGAGAUGGUGGAUGGAUGGCCUCAAUGUUUGCAACCCAAGGUGGCCCCAAGGCAGCCUUCUUGCAAGGACAUGCAGUGUCCCAAAGGGACGUCGUGUAGGAUGACAGAUGGGUGGCCCCACUGUGUGCAGAACCAGCCCUCAUGCCAGGACGUCCAAUGUCAGAAGGGAACCGUGUGCCAGAUGGUCAAUGGUUGGCCCCAGUGUGUCCAGACGAAGACUUCCAUCAGGAGACCCACCUGUAGUGACCUACGGUGUUCCAAAGGUUCAGCGUGUGAGACGGUGGAUGGUUGGCCUCAGUGUGUUCAACCCAAGGUGGUCCCAAGGCAGCCUUCUUGCAAGGACAUGCAGUGUCCCAAAGGGACGUCGUGUAGGAUAAGAGAUGGGUGGCCCCACUGUGUGCAGAACCAGCCCUCCUGCCAGGAUGUCCAAUGCCAAAAGGGAACCGUGUGCCAGAUGGUCAAUGGUUGGCCCCAGUGUGUCCAGACGAAGAGUUCCAUCAGGAGACCCACCUGCAGUGACGUUCGGUGCUCCAAGGGGAUGGUGUGUCAGAUAGUGGAUGGAUGGC